rnacentral:lncRNA from 1 species
AGUUACCUCAAAAACUUAGUUGGACAGCUUUAGAACAGAAAUCUUGACCGAAAUUCCUCCAAGAAAACCGAUGAACAGCCCCCUCUUCCAAGCUAGGAACAAAGCCCUCUAAUGGAUGAUGAAAUUUGGAAGUGGAUUGAGGUAAUUUUGUAAGGAUUUUGGCUAGAUUUUUCUUCCCAUCUUCUGCCCAAUAGAGAGUGACGAGAGGAGAGAGAAUGAAAUCAGGUAUUGUAAUGAAAGUGGAGAGAAUUGGAGCCUUAAGUCUAAGUGUCAACUCAUGCUAGGUCUGUUUAGGGUUUUCGCGUGUCCAAUUUUCGCGCUCGUUUGCAACUUUUGUGCACUAAACCUCUGAGGUAAUUUCCCUAGUACAUUAAUAGAACAUUACUAGUAGUCUAAUAUCAUGUUCUUAAAAUCUCCAAUUAAUCAAAUUAAUGUGCCUGUCGGGGCCUUUUCGGCACGCGCGCGUAUAAAGGUCAAACUUAAGGGUUUUUUCGUUUGAACUUGGAAAUUCAACUUAUUCGAUUCUAAAACUCUAAAAUAUGAUAAUCCAAAUAUAUAUAUAUAACAAUAAAAAUCACGAUAAGCAAUUCAUCUUGAAUAAAUUUGGGCAUUAAAAUAAUAUACGCGUAAAGAACCAAUCGGUAAAAUUUAUUUUCGAGAAAUUCAUGUACUUUAGUAUUUUUUUUUUGGGUAACUCGAGUACGAAAUAUUUUUAAAAUGACCAAUUUAACAAUAUUUUGAAAUAAUAAAAUUAUUGGUCCUCAUAUCCUCUCCCCCUUAAGAGAAUUUCGUUCUCGAAAUUCAUACCUUAACUCAAAAACUCCAGAUGUCACUUUUGCAUCCCAUUCUUACGAAUUGUAAAACUUUUUCUGCAUUAAAUAUCAUGUAAGUCUUGUAUUCUUAAUCUGUUCACGACGAGCGAGAUAACAAUUCCUUCAUGCGGUUCACAGAUUCAAUUGCCUCAAGAAAUUUGUCAAUUCAAGAACAAAUGAUGUAAUAGCCCUUUAAAUUGGUAUACGCAAUGAACUUUAAAUAUCUCGCAGAUCAAAUUCAAUAAGAUCUUAUUAGCACACAAGUUUUGUCCUACUGGACCUUAACCCUAGUAAUCUUUCAAAAUAGAUAGUAAGAGCCCUCAAGAAUCAAUAACUUCAAAAUCAUAUCUAGUUCCGUACACAUGUAUGCAAAUAUUGAAGUACGAAUUGAAACCUUACAUUCAAUAAUAUCUUAUUGUAGUCCCCAAGUCAUUUAUGAGUAUUAUUGCCAAUUUUUAACCCAAAUACGACUUAAAGACCCAAAUCCAUUAAUGCUACUGGUGUAUUCAUUACUCCCAAUGGCAUAAUUGAAUUUCAAAGUGCUUACUUUUCUGAUGAACUAGCCUUAAUCAUAUCUUCCUCUAGAAUCCUCAAUUAGUUGUAGACCUGUAUUAAAUCUAACUUGGAAAGUACUACUGUCUCUUGUAGAUACCCAAAUGAUUCAUUUAUGCAAGGUAAAAGAUAUUUAUUCCUGAUACCCACUUGAUUCCAGUCUCGAUAUUAUAGACAUGGCUUUCUCAAAAGGUUAUAAGCAUAACAAAAUUUAGAUAUACGAAUAAGUCAUGAAAUUGAUUAAAUGCAAAGUAAACUUUCAUUUGCUAUAAAAGACCAUAAUAGUUUCAUAAAGUUAGGAUAAGUUUAUCAAAUCAUUUCAAAAGAAAAGAGAAUAAACAAUAUUGUAGCAAAACAUGCUAAGUCAUCCAUGUUCAAAGCAACAAAAGAUUUCAUCCCUUACACAAAAGAUUACAACCUUCAAAAGUCUCAGCAUAGGCUAGGUUAUAAUCAUAAUUCCUGUCCUUAAGCAAAAUCAAAUCCAUCUUCACUCGUAGAGCUUCUAAUACUUUGGUUCUUCUCACAACCAUUAGUAUUAACAACUCCCUCUAACACUCGACUGUUUUGCAGCAGACUUAACGAGCUGCUGAGGAGUUCAUCGGGCAACUUAAAACUUAAUGCUCAGGACUCCCGCAUAGCAAGCAUUUGCUUGUUUCCUUCAGCCCAUAAUCUCAGUGUGAUUAAACUUGCCACAGUAUCCACAAGUUACGGCCUGAUUAGCUUGAGAAUUCUCCUUUUUCUUUUUCUUCUUUUCUCUCUGCUCCACAACAAAUUCAUGUUCACAUCUCUCUUUACGUUUCCCUUUUUUCAUUAUGGGAGUUUCCUUCACUACCCUUAACUUGGUUGCUAGAAAUAUACUGAGGUGAAACUUGAAUAGUGGGUCGCAUCCCCUCAAGUUUUUUUUUCUUUCCUGAAGUUCCUCCAAUACUCCUUCGUAUUUCUUUUUCAUUUCCAAUUUCUUGUUCCAUAAUUCCAUCUUCUCUACAAACUCUUGUUUGCAUCGUUCUUCCCAGAAUUCAACCAAUUUAGUCUGAAAUUCCAACUCCUUGCGAAGAACUUUUAUUUCUAUACGCAUCUCUUCCAAACUUUUCAUUUCAUCCAUUUGCUUAAUCCUAACUGUCAGCCUAUCAACAACUCAAAGCAUCUAAAUGAGUACCAAAUCAAAAUUUAAAACUUAACUAUCCACAACCUAUAAAUUCUCACGCAUCUAAGUCAUCCAGGUAUAUUUACUCUUACCUCUCCACGAAUUUGAUACGUAAGAAAAUUCACACCUACAAAUAAAGUAAUACCCCUUGAUAUAAUGAUAUGUACUUCCGUUCUAAGGUCUUACUCACGUAUGUAGUGAAACCAUAAAUUACACGCCAUAAGAAACAAGUUCCAAACCUUGACUAAAAACUGUUACGCACUAAUAAGACCAGAAUCCUUUUCCUCAAAAGUUUGUCUAAAUCAAAUCAAUCAUGACCUACAAGAUAAAGUCGAGACUUUUGAUAUAUUUUGAAUGUAUCUGUGGCAAAAUGCGAUUCAAAAUUUUCAAAAUUAUAGUUAAAGAUACAAAUUUUCUUCAUGAUCCAAAACUAAAUUUUCUUAGUAAGAGAUUUCAAAUAAUGUUUAACCACAAUCAUCAAUACAUAUUUCAAAUCUCUCAAAUAGAUUUAAGAAGAUUAAUCAUGCAACUUAAUGCAUGAAUUUUAAAACAUAUAUAUAAUAAUCAUAACAUAUACAUGGAGGGUGUUCCAACACUUUUCCUCAAAGUUUCGAGUUAAAUCUAUGUUCGGGUAAAGCGUAUAUUUUAGAAAAUACCUUUAAGAAAGAUAAAUAGACAUGUAGGUUCAUAUUCGCAUAACCUGUGAUCCAACACCUUUACCACCCUUUUAUAUCCAAACCAAGAGCUAACUCUACUAGUACAUAAAACCCGAUCAUUUCUAAUCUCUGAUUCAUAACAAAUAGGCAUUCAUGUUCCUAAGAAAAGAUUCGAACUUGAACUCUAUCUGAUUUCGAUUCUCAAACGAGUUCAAAAUGUGUAUACAUAUAUAUAUAUAUAUAUAUAUAAAUUUUGUGAAAAAGUAAAACAAGUGAAUCUGGGUAUAGUAAUUGUCAAGUAAAAUUGAAAGCGCUUUUGUUCAAGUAGAAUAAAUAGGUAAUGAGUUCAAAUCAUCUCACCAAACCAACGAAAUACUUUCGGAGUUCAAACUUCAUAAAAGUUGAAAGAUGGCCAUAGGACCACUCAUAAUAUACGUAUAAAGCAACUAUUAAAAUUUUGCACAAGAAAAUCUCAUCAAGUUCCCAACUAGGUUAAUCCAUUAUACACUGGUAGAUCUAAUCUUCUGGUUUAUUCUCGAUUCAUAUUCAGUACUAGGGUCUCAUUAAAUUAUAUAAGACUAUCCAUCAAUUUUGUCAUGAGUACAGGGUUGUCUAAACCCUGGGCCACGACCCCUUUUUCCCAUUCCUGCUGCUAUACUUAAUAGAAGUCUAUAAGCACAAGAAAAGGAAUAAUUAAGCAUAAAAGAACUUAAUGCAUAUACAAGUUGCAAAAAUAUUUAGAAUCAAAACAUGCUUCUUUACAUGUAUCAAAAGUUAUAGCAUGAGUUAGAAGUCACAAAACAAGCCCAAUAUGUCAAAUACUGCAUAUAGGCAAUUAAGUGCCACAAAAUAUAGAAGUAUAUGCAAGCAGGAUACAAAAGGCCUCACGGCGUGCACCACCCUUCCUAAGUCCUUAGUUAAACCAAAGGAUCCAAAUAUCACUAAUUUCAAUUAGAUCACAUGCCUUUCCGAAAUUAGAUCCAAUCAAACCAUAACACAAGCUGAAACCAAAGGUUAUCCAUUCGAAAUUCAAAAUCUUUAAUAAGCAAGCCACCAGCCAGAGUACCAUCAUCUCCAAGAAUAACCAGUCUUAGGGUUUUAUAGUUAAAGCCUCAAGCUCCAAGUUCAAACCCAAGAAAUAAGUACAACUUGCUAACUUACGUGUCAAAUGGAAACCAAGUCAAUUCACACUAACUUCGUGCUCUUGAAUGCGGUUAUUCUAUAUUUCAAAGUUCCUUCAGCCCGUACACCUAAAGAUAGGCUCACUCUUCUUGAAAACCAAGAAUUUUAAAACAUAAGAAGAGUAAUCAAAGUAACCAAAAAUCUUAUCAAGUUCAAGAUUUACAUUAUAAAAACAUAAGUUCGCCAUUCUUCCGAAAACUCAAGAUUUUUUUUUUUUGUAAAGCAUAGACAAAUUCAGGUGUGAGAAUACACCAGUAUACAAUCAAGGGGAAAAACUUAGUUUAGAAAAUUUUAAUCUUGUAUCAGCCCAUCAUAUACAAAAUUCAACAAACUCAUCAGUUAUUCACAAAUUUUCAGAUUGAAAUUCAAGUAAAAUUCACAUAUUUACCAAAAUCAGAAAAUUAUACAUACUUAAAGUAUAUAUAUAUUAUUUCCAAUCAUCGUUUGAAAAUAAAACUAGUACAUCCUCGUUUUUCUUUAGAAUUUCAAAGCAGAAAUUCUCUAGGAGGUAAAUGGGCGGGAAAAUGCAUUUUAUUCCUUUGAAACUCUUUUAUCUUGGUUCAAAAUCACCAUACAUGGAGUUUGAUCAUCAAAUCCCGGUCUCUUAUCCUCUAUAGCCAGUACUAAUAAUUGUCUCAAUUCUUUCCAUACUUACAAGUAUAAUAAUAAUUCAAAUUCAUCCAAUCUUUCACUACUAAUCCUCAUCCCAUAUUUUCCAUCAAUAUAACAUCACCUAAUUCCUCAAUUUUUUUUUUAUUUCUACAAGUCCCAAGUAAGAAACUCUCAAAUAAUCAAUUUCUGUAACCCCUAGGAUACAAUAGGUACUCAUUCACAUAAUAUUCAAAUUACUCCCACAGUCAGGCAUCCAAAACUUUAAGUCUAGGAUACACUACGAGAUCUAGGGCCUGGGCUCUGAUACCAACUGUGACAGCCCCACCUCCCCCUAAGGCGAACCAAAGGGUUCGGCGGACCACCUGCCCAACUCUCGCCGGGACUCACUACAGUCCUCAACUAAAAUACAUCACUCACAUCCAAUAACAUAGGGCACAACCUCAAGAAUAAACGAAAUAACAUUUUUCAAACUUAGAACGAGAUAAGAUACAUUACAAAUCUCAAGUAAGGGUAUCAUUCCCCGAAUAAAAUAAAAGUCCUCAGUUCUCAAAUAAUUACAUCAAAUACUUAUCAAGAGAAUCGAAUUCAAAUUAUAUAUGAGAUAUCCUUUCAGGCACUAAUCACUCAAUACAAGCGCUUUCUUUGGCCUCGAGCCUUGUGGGAAAAAAUUAUUUUUGGGGGUCACUAAUUAAGUCUCAGAACUUCCACUUCCAAACCUGUUAAGGAAAACAAAUUGGGGUGAGCUAACGCUCAGUGAGGCCAAGGGAAAAACAUGCAAGCAUGCUAGCAAAGAUACAAUAUAAAGCAAUAACUCGAGUAACCAAUAAUUGCGAAACAUUAAGCAAUUAGAGAAUUUAAUCACAAUAAAAGGAUACGGGAGCUCUCAGGAGCUAAUCCACGCGCGAUCCAAGCUCAGGUAGUUGACCCUCCGUCAACUUUCACAGUUAUCCAUGUAGAACUCCACUUACUACCUCCAGCCACCAUGACACCCUCUUGGAUCCGUAACCAAACAAGCAUGUAGGUGGUAUCAUUUAACAAGUAUACCUAGCAAGACCCCUUAUUUGGAUCAAGCUAUAACACUGCCCAAGAUUCACCAAGUUUCUCGACCAAGCCCUUGCCGGCUCGAGUUACAAGGCUAGCCAAUGGGUUGGGGCGUCCCCCCCAUUCACUUUUAGGUUGAUGAGACGAAACUCCAAUCGACAAGAUUUGGUCAUAGCAUUGAGACGGGAUGAGCGGUACCUCCUACCCUAAAAGGGCAUGAUACAUUCUGCUGCUCAAUGCUCACGAAAAACACUUUCAUUUGCAUUCACAUGUAACACGUAUCACUUAUUAAGCAAGCAAUUUCAUGAAAGAGAGGACAAGGGCGAUAAAGUACGCCCUAGCCUCAUUAACUAGCAAGUACAAGAAUCAUUUCAUUUAAACACUUCACAUGCACUUGAUACUCACCAAGUAUCAAAAGUCAAAGUUUGAGAAAUUAGCUCUAAGACGCUUCGCCGGGAGUUCCCUCGAAGUCCUCUUGAGAUCCUAAAAGUAUGCAAUAAUGCAUUGUAUCUCAAAUUCCAGGCCAUACAGUAUUCGUGUAAAGAAAAGAAAUUGUCAAUUUUGACUCCAAAAUUCAAGUUUCCAAAGUAUUUCAGUUCAUAAGAAACCGACUUUCAAAUGAGGUCUCAAGUGAUAGGUAAACUCAAGUUCACCAUGAAAAUAGGUUUGAAAUGCUCUAAGAGUUGUAAAAAUGUAACCUAGGCCCUUAAAAGAACAUUUAGGUCCAAAUUGGAAAUUUUCAUUUUUCUCGUCAUUCUUGGAAAAAUCAGUUCGGAAGUUCGGAAAGUCUAAAAAUGGAAAAUUUUACACCGUCAAAAACUUCAUUCGAAGCAUAACAACUUUACAGAAGGUCACUUUCCAAGAAUCAAAUCAGAAACAAGUCAAUUUCUCCAAGAAAGUUUACUAUGCAUUGAAGAUAGGUCAAAACAGUCCAAGUUUUCCCAAUAAUUUUGGAAUUUCGUUAAAAAUCAUAGAAUCAAAACUAGCCUUUGAAAUUUGAUAUGCAUGUAAAUUUCCAAUCCAGGUUUCAAAUAAAAAAAAAUGGAACUCGAUUCCGAUGUUCCUUGCUCAAGAAAUAAAAAGUUUAAGUUCACUAAAAUUCCUGGACUGUUGGCCUUUCCAGAAAUUUUCCAGAUUUAAUGCACUUCGCUAAUUAGGCCGUAUCUCACUCGAUUCUCAGUGAAAUUGAAAACGGUUGGUGGAUUUAGAAACUAGGUUUACAAGGCUAUAUUUGUGUAGAAGAAAUCAUUUCCAAAAUCCAGACAUAAGUGGUUCAAAAUCAAGCAGAAAAAUGGAUUUUCUGGACAGUCUCGGAUGAACAGUAAUAAGCAGGCAGCCAACUUUCAAAACUCGCCACGAGUCGCUCGGGAUGAACUAGAAAAUGAGCUUGGUACCAUUUUAAAGCUCUAAGAGUCUACUUUCAAAUGCUGCAAAUGGCAGUCCAGUUCGAUCAACGAGCAAAACGUUAUAGCUACACAAAUGUUGCUGGUCAGAAAAUUCUGGAGCUUGUUCCAGUUUUGCUUCUUUACUUGUAACUCAAAAUUUAACCAACCAUUUGGGUUGAUUUUUGGUAGACAACCACAAUACACAUAACACAACAUAUCUACACCAAUUUGGAAGCUCAAUUUGCACCAGAAAAUUUUCGAAAUUACAGGGCAGCAGCAAACAAGAAAGUCGGCAGCAAGUCAGAAAUUUCAGACAGUACCUUUUCCAAAUUUCUAACUUUCUUCCAACUUCAUUCCAUCAAUCAUUCUAUAUACAUGUAACAUAGCACAAUAUCAGCAACCAAAACAUGUUAAUUCAUCAAAUCAGCCACCAAUAAGCAUCCUCAAACCCUCGAGCAUGUCAUGAAAUUGCAAGAACAUAAUUACUCAACCAAUCAACCCAAAUUCUACCAUAGGUUGCAAACCCAUGCUACCUUUGCUCCAUUUGAGCUAUAAUUUUGCAAGAUUGAAGUGUGGGUGAGUGAGUUACCUCAAAAACUUAGUUGGACAGCUUUAGAGCAGAAAUCUUGACCGAAAUUCCUCCAAGAAAACCGAUGAACAGCCCCCUCUUCCAAGCUAGGAUCAAAGCCCUCUAAUGGAUGAUGAAAUUUGGAAGUGGAUUGAGGUAAUUUUGUAAGGAUUUUGGCUAGAUUUUUCUUCCCAUCUUCUGCCCAAUAGAGAGUGACGAGAGGAGAGAGAAUGAAAUCAGGUAUUGUAAUGAAAGUGGAGAGAAUUGGUGCCUUAAGUCUAAGUGUCAACUCAUGCUAGGUCUGUUUAGGGUCUUCGCGUGUCC